CUAAGAAUAUUCCGCAAUGGACGGAAGUCUGACGGAGCGACGCCGCGUGGAUGACGAAGGCCGAAAGGUUGUAAAGUUCUUUUGCUGGGGAAGAAUAACCGCAGGAGGGAAUGCCUGUGGGAUGACAAGAACCGGUGAAUAAGCCCCGGCCAACUACGUGCCAGCAGCCGCGGUAACACGUAGGGGGCGAGCGUUGUUCGGAAUUACUGGGCGUAAAGGGCAUGUAGGCGGCUUGGAAAGCCUGGCGUGAAAGUCUGCAGCUUAACUGCAGGGGUGCGCUGGGAACUGCUGAGCUUGAGUGACGGAGAGGGAGCUGGAAUUCCUGGUGUAGGGGUGAAAUCUGUAGAUAUCAGGAAGAACACCGAUGGCGAAGGCAAGCUCCUGGCCGAUGACUGACGCUGAGGUGCGAAAGUGUGGGGAUCAAACAGGAUUAGAUACCCUGGUAGUCCACACAGUCAACGAUGUGCACUAGGUGCUGGGGCGGUAGCUUCGGUGCCGGAGCGAACGUGGUAAGUGCACCGCCUGGGGAGUAUGCUCGCAAGGGUGAAACUCAAAUGAAUUGACGGGGUCAUAGCUGUUUCC
rnacentral:rRNA from 1 species